rnacentral:lncRNA from 1 species
CCUGUGGAAACGGAAGGUUUUUAUAAUGUGUUCUGAGAAGGAGGGUGACCCACCAACCAAUGCCCUCUUGCUACUCGUCUAUCCCAAAUUACUGGUUUAUUAUUAGCUGCUGUUGGCCAUCGUUUCAAAGGCUGAUUCCCGCAAUGGUGGCCCCCAGGGGUUCCAGCCAGUGACCUGGUGAGGAUGGAGUUGGACUGUGUCAACACCCUGGUUGCUAGCACCUGUCACUGUGCCAGCAAACACAUCCAGGAACAUGUUGCCAACCCAUAGUUAAGAACGUGGGGUGAGGUACCGUCCUGCCCUUUGGCACUGGUUAGACAACGGGGAACUCCAGCCACAUCCCCAUGCAUUUGUUUGGAGUAGGGUUUAUGUAAUACAACUCCAACCCCAUGCCGACCACCUCUAGACACGGUACCGGCCCUCCUGGUGCAACAGCCUCUUGAUGUCUGAUGAGGAGGUUUGUCUGAGCAGCCCCCAGUAGUACCUGAAUCACCACCUGCCACAUGAAUGGGGCCAGAAGGAAAAUUCAACAUCGGAAUUCGAUUCCACUUUCUCAAGUUAACUGGAAAAUUCCAUGGAAGAAAAAUAAAAGGAAAGAGUGAGUCAACCAAUUCUGAGAAAGUUAAUCUCUGUUUUCAUUUUUUUUAAAGGUAUAUAUUCUGGCUGUAGAAAAUUAAGAAAAAUUGUUCUUUGGAAUUAUUCCAAAUUUAAAUUCUUAAAAAAUUACAUUAGAGUUUUAUUGGAUUUGUUUUACAUUAGGGUAAAUUUAGAAGACGAUUUUAAAGAUAUCUUGUCUUUGUUGAUCCCGGGACACAAUAGAGCUCCACAUUGACUAGCUUCUUCUUUCAUGUAUUAAUUAUUUUCUUCAUACAGACCCUCUUCCACCUUCUAUGAAGGUAGUCCAUAGGUAUUUUGUGGAGCUUUUUUGUGUGUGUGGUUAGAAUGAAGAGAAUGUUUUUCAUUCUGUCUUCUAACUGGCAAUAUAUAGAAGUUCUUAAUUCAUAGGUUGCAAUUUUGUACUUUUAUAUUAACAAUGAAUCUUUAUGUAUAAUAGAAAAUAUGAUGAGAAAUGAAGAAAAUAAAAGUCAUUUACAAUCCAGCCAAAUCACUUGUGGAUUUUGAGUUAUGCCAUUCUAUACUUGUAUUUAUACAAAAAUGAGACUACAUACUAUAUAUUGCAUUCUAACCCAGUUUUUCUCUUGACAAUUUAUUAGCCACAUAAGCAAGUCAUUGGUUGUGCUGCACCUAACACUGCACCUCUCCUGAACCAAGAAGGGGCGUUGGCCUCUGGCAGAGGCUUCAGGGGCCUUUGCUUCCCUCUGGUUUUUGGCACCCCUCGAGGUGAGAACUGACAAUGUAGACUCGACUGGCUCACGGGUGGGUUAGCCUGCCGCCUCCUCCUCUCUUUCCUUUCCAGUGGCCAGUGUGAGGUGGCAGGGACAAUUCCCUGGGCAGAAACAGCUGUCCAGACCCCUGAACCCUGUUGUCCUGUGUGGGCCCAGCCAGGCCUGGCCGGGACAGACACCCAUUGGGGUCCACAAGUUUCCUCGAUUACUGGUUCCUUCUUCUAGUGCUUGAGAGCAGCAGAGUCAGCUCCCCACAGACUGAAAUUGAAGCCUUGGCUUUGGUGGGGUGAGAACAGGAAGCAUCAGGGUGGAGAGGCAGAGCAGGCCUCUGGCUCCCCUGGGCUGAGGACACCUUGUCUGUGCAGCUCACCUGAGUGUGCACAUCCCAGGCGGGACCCGCGUGCCCUGGAGAGUCUGUGCCUCACAGGGAUGCAGCUGUGGUCUGAGUCCUCUGGCCAUAAUACUGUUAGAUGCCCAACCAACAUCAAAUUUUAUAUACGGGAACACCUCGUUUGAAAAUAAUGACAUUUCUGUGUGCUUCUUUUCAGAAGCCGGGGCUUUUAUUUGUUUUGCAUCUGUCCCAUUGGCAGGACACUCUAGGACAAGGUGAAAUAAUCAGGAUGACAGAGUGCCUGUGCCUCUGCCCGUGACAAGGUGAAAUAAUCAGGACGACAGAGUGCCUGUGCCUGUGACAAGGUGAAAUAAUCAGGACGACAGGGUGCCUGUGCCUGUGACAAGGUGAAAUAAUCAGGACGACAGGGUGCCUGUGCCUCUGUCCGUGACAAGGUGAAAUAAUCAGGACGACAGGGUGCCUGUGCCUCUGCCCGUGACAAGGUGAAAUAAUCAGGACGACAGGGUGCCUGUGCCUCUGCCUGUGCCCGUGGCAGGGUGUUCUUCAGGCUUCCAUCACGUCUGCUGUUGGCUGGGUGUGGCAAAGAGGUGACUGUAUUGGGACAAUUUUCUUCUUUCUCUAGAUAACUAACAGUGUUUAUCAGGGAUGAGAGUUGGGUUAAUGAAAUCUUUUUUUGAUUGAGACAAUCCUGUGAUUUUUCUCCAUAGACCUGCUAGUAUGAUGCUAGAAGAAAACACUGUCUCACAAUGUACCAUAAAAUUACCAUAAAUUUUUAUAUUGUAUCAUAAAAGUACCUCAUAGUUCCACAUCACAACCAACUCGUUCAUGGAGUGAUACUCUUUUAACACCCUAAGGAUUCAACUUGUUAAUAGUAUUUUUAGUAAUUUUGCAUCUAUACCCACAAAUAAAAUCGGGCUAUAAUUUUUGUGUUAUAUUAGGUUCUUGCAUAAAAAUUGCACUAUUCUAGAAAUCAUUGCAAAACCCCUGUCUUCUCUGUGACUGGGGAUACUUUAUACUGUAGGGGAAUUUUCUGUGCUUCAAAAUUUUAAUAGAACUCACUAGUAAAGCAAUAUAGAGAAGAUUUACUGGAAUUAAAUAAUUGUUUAUAAAGAUUAGAAAGAUAAUUUUAAUUGGGGAAGUAAAAUAUCUCCUUUUAACGAAUGCAAACAACACAAAAGUGGGUGAAGUGGAAACUGCGAGUCCCAAAUUCACCCUACAAAGGCAGCUUCCAUAUUUUAAACCCCAUUGAGAAGGAAAGAUUCUGCUAAUUCUCUUUUUAUUAUUUGCAGUUUUAAUUUUGUACCUACUAAAAUACUUUUUGGCACUUACUUUAAUUCUGUGUAUAAUGUGCAUUUGAGUUACUAGUGUUCUUUGACUUUGACCCAAGAGACUUCCUUUAGUAUUUCUUAUGACAGGCUUGUGAAUUCUCUCGGUGUUGUUUAUCCAAGAAUGUCUUAAUUUCUCUUUCUUUUUGACAUUUGAUCUUAGCCAAAAGGCUGACAUAUUUUAAAUUUUAAUUAAUAAAUUAAUGGGGGAGGGUACCAGAAAACCUGCUAGACAAAUUCUAAAGAGCUGUAAUACUUCUCUCUUUUUGGAAGAAUGUUUUCUGGAUAUAGAAUUCUUGGUUAGCAGUGUUUUUCUUCAGUGCCCUGACUGUGUCAUCUCACUGCCUGCUGGUCCCAUGGCUUCUGGUCAACAAGUGCUGUUAUUUUAUCAAGGGCUGAUUUACCUGACGACUCAUUUGGUUUCGGCGGAACAGGUUCCUGCUAUUUUAUCCAGGGCUGAUUUACCUGAUGACUCAUUUCGGUUUCGGGUGAACAGGCGCUGCUAUUUUAUCAAGGUCUGAUUUACCUGACAACUCAUUUUGGUUUUGGGUGAACAGGUUCCUGCUGUUUUAUCAAGGGCUGAUUUACCUGACGACUCAUUUCAGUUUUGGGUGAACAGGUUCCUGCUAUUUUAUCGAGGGCUGAUUUACCUGACGACUCAUCUCACUCUUGCUGCUUCCAGGACUCCCAGUUUCCCUUUGAUUGUUUGACUACAGUGUGUGCAGGUUUUGCUACUGCAGACUAGGAACAUUUUUGAACAUGAUUCCUGGAGCACUGUGUAAGAAUAUCUCUAGGCCAAGUGUAUACCUGGGCAACCUAAUAUACAUGGAACCAGAUUGUUUUCCAAGUAUUUGAACCAUUUACCUGCGUCCAGUGGUGUCUAAGUGUUCCUGUUAUUCCCAACAAUGGGAGUUCCCCUGCACAAGCUCUCUUACCUAC